UCUUAUUCCGAGCAUUCCAGUAACUUUUUUUGUAUAUGUACCUAGCUGUACUAUAAGUAGUUGGUUUGUAUGAGAUGGUUAAAAA
rfam:Cricetulus griseus cell line CHO-K1, whole genome shotgun sequence.